rnacentral:rRNA from 2 species
UCUGAAUAUGGGGGGACCAUCCUCCAAGGCUAAAUACUCCUGACUGACCGAUAGUGAACCAGUACCGUGAGGGAAAGGCGAAAAGAACCCCGGCGAGGGGAGUGAAAAAGAACCUGAAACCGUGUACGUACAAGCAGUGGGAGCACCUUCGGGUGUGACUGCGUACCUUUUGUAUAAUGGGUCAGCGACUUAUAUUCUGUAGCAAGGUUAACCGUAUAGGGGAGCCGCAGGGAAACCGAGUCUUAACUGGGCGUUAAGUUGCAGGGUAUAGACCCGAAACCCGGUGAUCUAGCCAUGGGCAGGUUGAAGGUUGGGUAACACUAACUGGAGGACCGAACCGACUAAUGUUGAAAAAUUAGCGGAUGACUUGUGGCUGGGGGUGAAAGGCCAAUCAAACCGGGAGAUAGCUGGUUCUCCCCGAAAGCU